ensembl:lncRNA
CUGUGCUUUUCUCAUGGAAAGUGAAUGGGAAAAUGCAUGCGUAAGCCAAGGGGUUUUGCUCAGCUGAGAGCUCUGCAGCUGUCCUGCUAGGAAAUGAACACGACACAGGGCAGAGAGCUGUACAAGAGCUCAGGGGCCCCUCGUAUCUCGAAGGAAGGGGAAACAGAGGUCAACAGCUCUGGCCAGUCUUGCACUUCCCCAGGGCUACAGCUCUGCAAAUCAGAUUGCUGCAGGGAGAACAUUUUUUGGAGCUGACACUUCACUACCAGGCCAAAGAUGGGAAGCCCGAUACCCGGACCAAGGUUUUUCAGCCAGUGUAACGCCUGGUACCAAGGGGAAUGAUUCUGGACCUGGUAGCUCUAAAUCAUAGAACCAUAGAAUGGCCUGGGUUGAAAAGGACCACAAUGAUCAUCGAGUUUCAACCCCCCUGCUAUGUGCAGGGUCGCCAACCACCAGGCCAGGCUGCCCAGAGCCACAUCCAGCCUGGCCUUGAAUGCCUCCAGGGAAUGGUUACCCGGCGCCGGGAAUUCAUUCUCUCCUGCAGAGUAUGACUGGCCUGGUGUCUGCAAUAGUUAUGCAAAUAUCCCUCAGUUACAGCGGGAUUUGGGAAAUGGUGGUUGAGAGGAUUACUUCUGCUAGCAAUACAACGAACCCAAACGAUGAGGAAACGGUCCAGUACUGACGAACGGCUGACUCUUUGAGUCAGUCCUUCUCUCACACUCCCUCUUCUACCAUCAUUUCAUCCUCAAUGCUGUUAGUAUAGACAGAGCUCGAGGCAAAGGCAGCAUCUAAACACCACACGAGCAAUUGCCACUGCAGACGCUUCUGCACAGCGCAGUGCUAACACGGGCAGUUGAUGCUGGUUAUUUUGCCUACAGCCGGCACUUUGAUUUUGUGACUGCUACUACCAGUGUAUGGCUUAAUAAAUAUUAUUUCUGACCUAAUGUGCAUGUUGUCUCAUUUUUAUUACAUUUAUUUCUCUUGCUCGCCCUGCGCAGAAGCUCAGAGAGAAAUCAUUGGAAGAGAAUAACGUUACAGGGCGUAGAUCUGGUCACAAGUGCCGCUCACAGGGCUACAAAAC